rnacentral:misc_RNA from 1 species
GCUCGUUUUUCAUUAGAAUUCCGUUUGGGUCAUGUCCCACUCUUUUGUUCAGACAGACUAAACUAGAUGAAGCUGACUUACCCAGAAAAGAUACCUAAACAACUGGUUUGGAAAGAGCUAGGAGGUCCUCGGCAUGCUAUGGGUUGAAAUCCAACUAAAUCCCCUCAUCAAAUUCUGCAUCCAGAACCAGCAGCAUUCGCCAGAUACUACAACCAACUAAAUCCCCUCAUCGAAUUCUGCAUCCAGAAUCAGCAGCAUUCGCCAGAUAUCCAGUGCCAUCAAUCAUCAUCUUAUUUCACGACAACAUGGUUGGCCCCUUUCUCCUCCUGUUGGUUGCCCACGCCGUCCUUAUGGACCAUCUCCCAGAAGAAAUCCGUGAGGACAGUCUCGUAUCCUGGCAUCUUGGCGUAGCCCGGGAAGUAGUUGAUGUCAAUGACGAGAUAGCGGUCGCCGGCGCGGACGUCGCGGAUCAUGUCGAAGUUGAAGAGUUGCAGGCCCAGCGCGCGGCGGAGGCCGCCCGCGAUCUGGUUGAUGAAUGCGGCGGGCGGCACGACGGCGUCCUCGAGACUCUUUUCGCCGUAGUACUCCUCCGCCGUGCGCUCAGUGGGGAGGUUGGAGACCUGGGAGAAGGAGACGGAUCCCUGGGCCGAUGCGUCAUCCUCGGGGGACACGUCGGGCAGGCUACGGCGCUUGACGCAAGUGACGUGGCCGCCGACGACGUAGACCUUGAAGAUGACGCCGCCAUGGUUGACGAACUCCUGGAGCACAAGCGGCGGGCGGAGCUUGCCGAGGCCCUCGCGGUGGUAGACGAGCGACAUCUUGUGGGACUUGGCGGUGCCGUCGGCGACGAGGGGCUUGGCGAUGAGCGGGAAGCGGAGCGCGGCAAGGAGUCCGAAGUCGGCGAGCGCGGCAGCGUCGUAGACGACGACCUGGCUGGGGAUACCGAAAGUGCUGUCCUGGUCGGCGGCGUGGUCGAGCUCGGAGACGACCUGGAGCAUGGAGAUGCGGUUGUGGAGGCGGUCGAUGGCGUGGGGCGGGUCGACGAUGGGGACGGCCGGGUGGCGCGCGGCGAAGGCCACGAGCUGGGCGCGCCAGUCGUCUCCGUAGAGCUUGUGGAUGAGGAGGUGGAAGGGCCCUUGCUCUGCCAGGGGCUGCGACGCAUCCACGGGGACGAGGUCCAUGCCCCGCGACGCCGCCUGGGCCACCAGCGACGGCUGGAUGAAGCUCUGCUGCUUCUUCGGCGCGAGCGCGUAACCGAUGACGUAGCGCGGGGGGUGGGUGACGCCGGAGGAGGGCUCGGCGGCGGCGUCGGAGGCCAUCGGGUCGGGUUCGGGAGGAAUCGAUCGAUGGAGAUUGAAAUUUGUUGGGAA